rnacentral:rRNA from 1 species
GACGAACGCUGGCGGCGUGCUUAACACAUGCAAGUCGAACGGAAAGGCCCCCUUGUGGGGUACUCGAGUGGCGAACGGGUGAGUAACACGUGAGUAACCUACCCUUGACUUUGGGAUAACUUCAGGAAACUGGGGCUAAUACCGGAUAGGAGCUCCUGCUGCAUGGUGGGGGUUGGAAAGUUUCGGCGGUUGGGGAUGGACUCGCGGCUUAUCAGCCUGUUGGUGGGGUAGUGGCUCCCCAAGGCUUUGACGGGCAGCCGGCCUGAGAGGGUGACCGGCCACAUUGGGACUGAGAUACGGCCAAGACUACUACGGGAGGCAGCAGGGGGGAAUAUUGCACAAUGGGCGGAAGCCUGAUGCAGCAACGCCGCGUGCGGGAUGACGGCCUUCGGGUUGUAAACCGCUUUCGCCUGUGACGAAGCGUGAGUGACGGUAAUGGGUAAAGAAGCACCGGCUAACUACGUG